GAGAAACCAUUGAAACCGUGAAGCUAAAACGUCCCAGAAUAAUAACUCUUACAUUUAAUCUGCGUUUUCCAUUCAAAGAUCCACUCUUCCUUCAUAAUGAUUUCGAUCUAUCUCUUCGUUCACCCUCAAACCGCCUCGGAAAUUGGAGCCCUAGCUUCACUUUUCACAAGAGUAGAGAAGAUGCACUGAAAAGCCUCCCUAUCUCUCAGACUACGUUAAACUCUUCAAUGCUUCAUUAAUUCAGCCUUCACCACCUUCGUUGCACAUAAAUACAAACCGUAUGAGAGACGAAGCAUAAUCCGUUUGCUUUUCCUAAUUCUGAGCUUCUGUUUAUUCUCAUUGAAACGUUCAACCAACGUUCAACCAUGGCGACUUUUCAAGUACAUUUCAUGGAGUUCACAUCAGACUACUUUGAUUUUGGAAGGGCCGUCAUGUGAAGAAAGGCGGGGAGCUGAUAGACAUUGAUAUAGUACUUAUUGAUCCGAAGGGGACGCUCAUCAACGCUGCUCUCGUCUUGGACCAAAUGAUAACUGCAGUUUCAUGGAUACAAAAAGGGGCUGCAAAGGCAAUGCCUGAAUCCUGAUGAUGCUAAGCCUCAUUCUAAGGAAAAGAUCAAUGAGCUGUCGAGAAUGGCACCCUCAAGAAAAGUUGAAUUCUUUUCCAUUUCCUGUUUCUACUGUCCAUUUUCUUAAAAUCACCCUUUGAUUUGUGGUUACAUGGAUAUCAUCUGCUAUCUCAGUGACAUGCAUGGACGAAGUUGAAAACGGGAUGGAGCGUGAAUUAAUACAUAGUGGCGACGGUGCUCAUAACAAGGCUGUAGCCAAACCUUUUGGAAAACCAUGUUCCAAAAGCAACAAGCUGAUCGGGAUUCAAACUGAUAACUGAUGGUGUUAUAUUUCAUGCUAAAAAUUCUCCAAGAAGCUUAGCUAUAGUGUGGGGUAUCUUCCUUCUCAACGGAUCAACUUUGACGACGAGUAUGCCGCCAUCUGUAGCUACCUG